rnacentral:rRNA from 1 species
UACGGAGGGUGCAAGCGUUAUUCGGAAUUAUUGGGCGUAAAGGGCGUGUAGGCGGCCAGAUAAGUCAGAGGUGAAAGCCCGGGGCUCAACCCCGGAAGUGCCUUUGAUACUGUUUGGCUUGAGUGCGGGAGAGGAAAGCGGAAUUCCCAGUGUAGAGGUGAAAUUCGUAGAUAUUGGGAGGAACACCGGUGGCGAAGGCGGCUUUCUGGACCGACACUGACGCUGAGGCGCGAAAGCGUGGGGAGCAAACAGG